rnacentral:rRNA from 1 species
CCUACGGGUGGCAGCAGUAGGGAAUAUUGCUCAAUGGGGGAAACUCUGAAGCAGCAACGCCGCGUGGAGGAUGAAGGUUUUCGGAUUGUAAACUCCUUUUGUUAGAGAAGAUAAUGACGGUAUCUAACGAAUAAUCACCGGCUAACUCCGUCCCAGCAGCCGCGGUAAUACGGAGGGUGCAAGCGUUACUCGGAAUCAUUGGGCGUAAAGAGCGCGUAGGCGGGAUAGCAAGUCAGAAGUGAAAUCCUAAGGCUUAACCAUAGAACUGCAUUUGAAACUGGUAUUCUAGAGUAUAGGAGAGGUAGGUGGAAUUCUUGGUGUAGGGGUGAAAUGCGUAGAGAUCAAGAGGAAUACUCAUGGCGAAGGCGACCUGCUAGAACGUAACUGACGCUGAGGCGCGAAAGCGUGGGGAGCAAACAGGAUUAGAUACCCCAGUAGUC